CCUACGGGUGGCAGCAGUGGGGAAUAUUGCACAAUGGGCGAAAGCCUGAUGCAGCAACGCCGCGUGAAGGAAGAAGGGUUUCGGCUCGUAAACUUCUAUCAACAGGGACGAAAGAAAUGACGGUACCUGAAUAAGAAGCCCCGGCUAACUACGGACCAGCCGCCGCGGUAAGACGGAGGGGGCAAUCGUUCGCCGGAUGUGUUGGGUUAAAAGGGUGCGUAGGCGGAAGGCCAAGUCAGCGGUAAAAUCGCGGGGCUCAACCUCGCUCCGCCGUUGAAACUGGCGUUCUUGAGUGGGCGAGAAGUAUGCGGAAUGCGUGGUGUAGCGGUGAAAUGCAUAGAUAUCACGCAGAACUCCGAUUGCGAAGGCAGCAUACCGGCGCCCAACUGACGCUGAAGCACGAAAGCGUGGGUAUCGAACAGGAUUAGAUACCCGUGUAGUC
rnacentral:rRNA from 1 species